rnacentral:rRNA from 1 species
CCUACGGGGGGCAGCAGUGGGGAAUAUUGGACAAUGGGGGGAACCCUGAUCCAGCCAUGCCGCGUGUGUGAAGAAGGCCCUCGGGUUGUAAAGCACUUUCAGUGAGGAAGAACGCCUGGUGGUUAAUACCCAUCAGGAAAGACAUCACUCACAGAAGAAGCACCGGCUAACUCCGUGCCAGCAGCCGCGGUAAUACGGAGGGUGCGAGCGUUAAUCGGAAUUACUGGGCGUAAAGCGCGCGUAGGUGGCUUGAUAAGCCGGUUGUGAAAGCCCCGGGCUCAACCUGGGAACGGCAUCCGGAACUGUCAAGCUAGAGUGCAGGAGAGGAAGGUAGGAUUCCCGGUGUAGCGGUGAAAUGCGUAGAGAUCGGGAGGAAUACCAGUGGCGAAGGCGGCCUUCUGGACUGACACUGACACUGAGGUGCGAAAGCGUGGGUAGCAAACAGGAUUAGAUACCCUAGUAGUC